UACAUGGGGUGCAAACGUUGCUCGGAAUCAUUGGGCGUAAAGCGCGCGUAGGCGGUUACUUAAGUCGAAUGUGAAAGCCCUCGGCUUAACCGAGGAAGUGCAUCCGAAACUGAGUAGCUAGAGUACGAAAGAGGGUCGCGGAAUUCCCGGUGUAGCGGUGAAAUGCGCAGAUAUCGGGAAGAACACCCGUGGCGAAGGCGGCUCUCUGGGACGGUACUGACGCUGAGACGCGAAAGCGUGGGGAGCGAACAGG
rnacentral:rRNA from 1 species